rnacentral:rRNA from 1 species
UAGAGUUUGAUCCUGGCUCAGCCUGAACGCUGGCGGCGUGGUUAAGACAUGCAAGUCGCACGGAUGUAGCAAUACAUCAGUGGCGCAAGGGUGAGUAAUGUAUCGCUAACGUACCCCGGACGCUGGGAUAGCUGCCCGAAAGGGCAGGUAAUACCAAUAAUAUAUCCAAACCGCAUGGUUAUGGAUCUCAAAGGUCCGCCGGUCUGGGCGCGGGCGAUAUCGUAUCAGCUAGUUGGUGAGGUAACGGCUCACCAAGGCGACGACGCGUAGCCGGACUGAGAGGUCGGUCGGCCACAUCGGGACUGAGACACUGCCCGGACUCCUACGGGGGGCUGCAGUAACGAAUCUUCCCCAAUGGGCGCAAGCCUGAGGGAGCGACGCCGCGUGGAGGAUGAAGUCCUUCGGGAUGUAAACUCCUGUCAGGGGUUACCAAGUUCUGAGGAGCCCCAGAGGAAGAGGCGGCUAACUCUGUGCCAGCAGCCGCGGUAAGACAGAGGCCUCAAGCGUUAGGCGGAAUCACUGGGCUUAAAGCGUGUGUAGGCGGAUCGUUAAGUGCCUUGUGAAAUCCCACGCUUAACUGUGGAACGGCUGGGCAUACUGGCGGUCUUGAGCCAUCUAGGGGCUACUGGAACAAACGGUGGAGCGGUGAAAUGCGUAGAUAUCGUUUGGAACGCCAAUGGUGAAAACAGGUAGCUGGGGAUGAGCUGACGCUGAGACACGAAAGCCAGGGGAGCAAACGGGAUUAGAUACCCCGGUAGUCCUGGCCCUAAACGAUGUCCACUAGAUCGCNNNNCUCUGACGGUUUUGCGGUCGAAGCAAAAGUGCUAAGUGGACCGCCUGGGAAGUACGGUCGCAAGGNUAAAACUCAAANGAAUUGACGGGGGCUCACACAAGCNGNGGANCAUGNNGNUCANUUCNAAGCNNCGCGC